rnacentral:misc_RNA from 1 species
UGGCKUGCUCUGCAUGGCAGAACUCCUGCGCAUCGGCGUGGCAGACUGUCAUGGGGCCGCCUCUUCAUUAUCCCUCUCGUCCGGUGUGAAAUUUCGCCUGGGAGGGAUUGUGGGUACCGUAUUUGUCUGUGUCGUUCUAUCCAAGCGGGAAACAUGAUCUGUCCGACGAUGUAUGCUUUUGCUUGCCUUGCUGAUAAUUUUAUUGUCUGCAGGGGCAGCCGAAUUUUGGGCGAAACCCUUGUGCGUCCCAUGGCAUCAAUGCCGUGGCACCGCACACGGGUGUUGUCGGCUCUUGCGGAUGUGGUGUCCAUGAUAAGUUAUGUCGGCCAUUAGCGGCCUGCAGGCUUCGGAAGGUCCCUUUUACGGAUCAUUGGUCCGUCGAUCGCCCUGUCAUGUCGCUUUUGGCGUCAUGAUGGAGCGGUGUGUUGGUUGCCUCCCUGACCGAAUGAGCAGCGAUUGCCGGGUACUGUUGUGAGAUGGUUCUCCCCUCCGGGGCGGCUCCGGAAACAAUGUGCCGGCUCUCGUUUAAGACGUGC